UGCAAGUUUUAUGUCUCUUCGGAGGCAUGGCGAAAGGCUCAGUAACACGUCGCCAAUCUGCCCUAUGGACGGGGAUAACCUCGGGAAACUGAGAUUAAUACUCGAUAGGUAUGGAAUUCUGGAAGGAGCCAAUACCUAAAUGGACUUCGGUUCGCCAUAGGAUGAGGCCGCGGCCGAUUAGCUAGUAAGUGAUGUAAAGGAUCACUUAGGCGAUGAUCGGUAGGGGUAAUGAGAGUUAGCGCCCCGAGAAGGACACUUAGACACUGGUCCUAGCACUACGGUGUGCAGCAGUUAGGAAUUGUGCCCAAUGCGCGAAAGCGUGAGACCGCGAAUCUGAGUGCCAGGGAGAACCCUGGCUGUGAUGGAGUGUUCGUAGCUCCAACAGCAAGCAGAGGGCAAGGCUGGUGCCAGCCGCCGCGGUAAAACCAGCUCUGCGAGUGCCUAGGACGAUUAUUGGGCUUAAAGCAUCCGUAGCCGGGUAAGUAGGUCUCUGAUUAAAUCUGCAAGCUCAACUUGUAGGCUGUCAGAGAUACCGCUAACCUAGGGAAUAGGAGAGGUGAACGGUACUGCGAGAGAAGCGGUGAAAUGCGUUGAUUCUCGCAGGACCCACAGUGGCGAAGGCGGUUCACUGGAAUAUCUCCGACGGUGAUGGAUGAAAGCCAGGGGAGCGAAAGGGAUUAGAGACCCCUGUAGUCCUGGCCGUAACGAUGAGGAUUAGGUGUUGGCCAUGGUUAAGGCCUGGUCAGUGCCAAAGG
rnacentral:rRNA from 1 species